rnacentral:rRNA from 1 species
GUCCAUGCCGUAAACGAUGUCUACUAGCCGUUGGGGCCUUUGAGGCUUUAGUGGCGCAGCUAACGCGAUAAGUAGACCGCCUGGGGAGUACGGUCGCAAGACUAAAACUCAAAUGAAUUGACGGGGGCCCGCACAAGCGGUGGAGCAUGUGGUUUAAUUCGAUGCAACGCGAAGAACCUUACCUGGUCUUGACAUAGUAAGAACUUUCCAGAGAUGGAUUGGUGCCUUCGGGAACUUACAUACAGGUGCUGCAUGGCG